ensembl:misc_RNA
CUUAAUUUUCUUUUCUAGUGGGAAAUGGGGACCUACUGCAAUCCGAGGAUCUUGAGUAUUUCUAGCCCAGGCCAAU